AGUGAACGCUGGCGGUAGGCCUAACACAUGCAAGUCGAACGGCAGCACAGUAAGAGCUUGCUCUUACGGGUGGCGAGUGGCGGACGGGUGAGGAAUACAUCGGAAUCUACUUUUUCGUGGGGGAUAACGUAGGGAAACUUACGCUAAUACCGCAUACGACCUACGGGUGAAAGCAGGGGAUCUUCGGACCUUGCGCGAUUGAAUGAGCCGAUGUCGGAUUAGCUAGUUGGCGGGGUAAAGGCCCACCAAGGCGACGAUCCGUAGCUGGUCUGAGAGGAUGAUCAGCCGCACUGGAACUGAGACACGGUCCAGACUCCUACGGGAGGCAGCAGUGGGGAAUAUUGGACAAAGGGCGCAAGCCUGAUCCAGCCAUACCGCGUGAGUGAAGAAGGCCUUCGGGUUGUAAAGCCCUUUUGUUGGGAAAGAAAAGCAGCAGGUUAAUACCCCGCUGUUCUGACGGUACCCAAAGAAUAAGCACCGGCUAACUUCGUG
rnacentral:rRNA from 1 species